rnacentral:tRNA from 1 species
GUCACAGUAGCGCAAUGAAUAGCGCGUUGGACUUCUAAUCCAAAGGUCGUGGGUUCGAAUCCCACCUGGGAUG